UACGAAGGGUGCAAGCGUUGUUCGGAAUCAUUGGGCGUAAAGCGCGCGCAGGCGGAUCAGCAAGUCAGAUGUGAAAUCUCGGAGCUCAACUCCGAAACUGCGUCUGAAACUGCUAGUCUAGAAUGUCGGAGGGGGCAGGGGAAUUUCACGUGUAGGGGUAAAAUCCGUAGAGAUGUGAAGGAACACCGGAGGCGAAGGCGCCUGCCUGGACGACUAUUGACGCUGAGGCGCGAAAGCGUGGGGAGCAAACAGGAUUAGAAACCCGUGUAGU
rnacentral:rRNA from 1 species